GGAAAGGUGCUCGAGCGGUUGAAGAGGCACGCCUGGAAAGCGUGUAUACCCCUAAAGGGUAUCAGGGGUUCGAAUCCCCUCCUUUCCG
rnacentral:tRNA from 1 species